rnacentral:rRNA from 1 species
AGGAAGGUUGCAGCGUCAGACCCCAUUGACAUUUUGAAUAUUAAACUAAAGAGGUUCAAGUCUUAUUUCAAAGGAUGGGGCUCUGACAAAUUUGGCCAUGCCAAAAAACGUAAAGAAGAUCUGAGGAUCGAACUGGAAAUGUUAGAAGAAGCAGAAGAAGACGGCCCUUUGCCCCCUGAGCUUUACGGUAGGAAGGUAGAUGUUUAUGUUGAACUUUAUGAACUGUUAGCCGCGGAGGAGAUUUAUUGGCUACAGCAGUCUCAUGAACGUUGGCUGUUGAGAGGAGAUCGCAAUACUGAUUACUUCCAUAAGAUAGCCAAUGGCCGCAAACGAAAAAACACUAUCCACACGCUCAAGUGCGGAGAGGUUGAGAUAGAGGGCACUGAUAAUCUUCUUGCUCAUGCCACCAGUUUCUAUAAAGAACUGUUUGGCCCGGCACCUGGUAACCUGUUCCAUCUCGAUCCUGAUACUUGGGCAGACAAUGAGAAACUCUCCGCCGAUGAUAAUGCUGACCUUAUUAGAGAGUUCUCUGAAGAGGAAGUUAAGGAGGCCUUGUUUGACAUGGAUGUCAACAGAGCCCCCGGUCCUGAUAAUAUUCCUGCGAAUUUUAUCAGCACUGUUGGGAUGUGGUUACGGUCGAUAUAA